UGAUGGGAAUGGCAGCAGAGGAAUGUGCCAGCCUUGAUAACUUGGCUUCUGGGCACAGCAUAUCCAUCUGAAACUGAGAGAUUACAGGGGAAAAGUGUGGGAAAAAUACCAUUAUUGCCUUCUGAUGUUUGCGGAGUUACAACAUUUCUUAAUAUCAAGAAGAAUCCAACAUUUCUUAAUAUCAAGAAGGAGGUUUAAUGCAAAGGAAACAUAAAGUAAAAUAAAAAAGAAGUGCAGAGGAUGAAAAGAGAAGCUCUUGUGAUCCAGAGUUCAGCUUUCCCAGUCUGAGCAGUUGUGCUGUGUGGUGUCCAAUAUAAAAUCAGGUGCACCCAGAGGCUCUGUCCCAGGGCAAUGCUCAGAAAAAGGAGAUGUGCAGAAGGGACCGUAA